CCAACCUGCCGAUGACUCGGGGAUAGCCUUUCGAAAGAAAGAUUAAUACCCGAUGGCAUAGUUCUUCCGCAUGGUGGAACUAUUAAAGAAUUUCGGUCAUCGAUGGGGAUGCGUUCCAUUAGGUUGUUGGCGGGGUAACGGCCCACCAAGCCUUCGAUGGAUAGGGGUUCUGAGAGGAAGGUCC
rnacentral:rRNA from 1 species